GCCGGGGUGGCGGAACUGGUAGACGCGUCGGAUUCAAAAUCCGAUGGCCUUUGGUCGUGAGAGUUCGAGUCUCUCCCUCGGCACCA
rnacentral:tRNA from 1 species